AUACGGAGGAUCCGAGCGUUAUCCGGACUUAUUGGGUUUAAAGGGAGCGCAGGCGGAGAUGCAAGCGUGACGUCAAAUUUCGGGGCUCAACCCCGUCUCGCGUCGCGAACUGCGUCCCUUGGUUGCGGGAAGGGGAGGCGGAACUCGCGGUGUAGCGGUGAAAUGCAUAGAUAUCACGAAGAACUCCGAUCGCGAAGGCAGCCUUCCGGCCCGUCAACGACGCUCAUGCUCGAAGGUGCGGGUAUCAAACAGGAUUAGAUACCCUGGUAGUCCGCACAGUAAACGAUGGACACCCGCGGUUUGGCCUAUAUGGCUGAGCCGCCAAGCGAAAGCGUUAAGUGUCCCACCUGGGGAGUACGCCGGCAACGGUGAAACUCAAAGGAAUUGACGGGG
rnacentral:rRNA from 1 species